rnacentral:rRNA from 1 species
GACGAACGCUGGCGGCGUGCUUAACACAUGCAAGUCGAACGGAAAGGCCCUGCUUUUGUGGGGUGCUCGAGUGGCGAACGGGUGAGUAACACGUGAGUAACCUGCCCUUGACUUUGGGAUAACUUCAGGAAACUGGGGCUAAUACCGGAUAGGAGCUCCUGCUGCAUGGUGGGGGUUGGAAAGUUUCGGCGGUUGGGGAUGGACUCGCGGCUUAUCAGCUUGUUGGGUGGGUAGUGGCUUACCAGGGCUUUGACGGGUAGCCGGCCUGAGAGGGUGACCGGCUACAUUGGGACUGAGAUACGGCCCAGACUCCUACGGGAGGCAGCAGUGGGGAAUAUUGCACAAUGGGCGGAAGCCUGAUGCAGCAACGCCGCGUGCGGGAUGACGGCCUUCGGGUUGUAAACCGCUUUCGCCUGUGACGAAGCGUGAGUGACGGUAAUGGGUAAAGAAGCACCGGCUAACUACGU